rnacentral:lncRNA from 1 species
CUGUUUUACUGAAGCUAAAAGGAAACUGAACUGCUAGGGUCUGAAGGUGGGUGGAGCCGGGGUGACCAAGGCGUUGGUGAAGCCGUGCGACAGUGACGACGCCAGCAAAGUGGUGCGGGAUGGUUGUCUUGGCCGCCGUCACGGAGUACAGGUCGCCGGUGGAAUCACAGCGGAGAAUCACCGUCCGGGUUCCCAGAUCCUUGACAGAAAAGCCAAACUAGUCAAACUCUACUGAAACAGGAUUGUCACGAUAAAUUUCACGAACAGAGAGAAGAUUUUUUAUGAGGGAAGGUGAGACCAGUAUGUUGUGCAAUUGGAUGGGGGAGGUGCCGGAAAUAAGAGAGCCGCAACCAGUGUGCGUGAUGGGAAGAUGCUCACCACUGCCAACGAUAAUGUGCGAAUGAGAGGUGGAUGGGAGAAGGGACUGAAGAGUACCGGGGUUGUUGGUCAUGUGAGAUGCAGCGCCUGAG